CGUGCCAGCAGCCGCGGUAAUACGUAGGGUGCAAGCGUUAAUCGGAAUUACUGGGCGUAAAGCGUGCGCAGGCGGUUUUGUAAGACAGUGGUGAAAUCCCCGGGCUCAACCUGGGAACUGCCAUUGUGACUGCAAGGCUAGAGUGCGGCAGAGGGGGAUGGAAUUCCGCGUGUAGCAGUGAAAUGCGUAGAUAUGCGGAGGAACACCGAUGGCGAAGGCAAUCCCCUGGGCCUGCACUGACGCUCAUGCACGAAAGCGUGGGGAGCAAACAGGAUUAGAUACCCUGGUAGUCCACGCCGUAAACGAUG
rnacentral:rRNA from 1 species